GACGAACGCUGGCGGCGUGCCUAAUACAUGCAAGUAGGACGCAGUUGCGAACGGGUGAGUAACGCGUAGGUAACUACCUAUUAGAGGGGGAUAACUAUUGGAAACGAUAGCUAAUACCGCAUACUAGUAGAUGGACCUGCGUUGUAUUCGCUAGUAGGUAGGGUAAUGGCCUACCUAGGCAACGAUACAUAGCAGAUGUGUGAUGGGGAUCUGACACACGGGGACGGGGACACGGCCCAGACUCCUACGGGGGGCAGCAGUAGGGAAUGUGCGGCAAUGGGGGGAACCCUUACCGAGCAACGCCGCGGGAGUGAAGAAGGUUUUCGGAUCGUAAAGCUCUGUUGUUAAGGAAGCGGUACUUAACCAGAAAGGGACGGCUAACUACGUGCCAGCAGCCGCGGUAAUAC
rnacentral:rRNA from 1 species